rnacentral:lncRNA from 1 species
UGUUUGUUUGUGUUUUAGAGUGUUUUGAGUCAAGUCAAAACCCAAAUUUCGUCCAAAGUUGUGCUAGAGUUAGAAACUGCCUAGUUUGUGUUUUUAGGCAGUUUUGAGUGUCUUUAAGUUAUUUUGAGUCUUGUGAACUUGUUUUGAGUUCUUUAAGUCUAUUCAAACGUUUUUAACUUUGUUUUUAUGUUUUUGAGUUAGUUUAGAGGUUUUAGCAAGCCCUCCUAAUCCCCGGUUUAGAACGAUCCCUACUUACAUCUAUACUACAAUUGUCAAAAAGAGGGUUUAAUUUGUGUGUCAAGUAAUUUUACGCAUCAAAGCCAUAUUCAUUUACCCUUAGUUGGCAAUGGAGUUAGGAGGUAGGAGAGAAUACCACUGAGAAGUCAGCUCAAUUAAAGAAUCCCUAAACAACCUCAGCUUGUAGCUGCUAGCUUUUGUUCAUCAAUGUAUGGAGGGUAAGGGUUUUGGUAGGUCACCCUGAACAUUAGGCGGGCAUAUAGCCUAGCAUUAUGCAUUAUUAGUCUCCUUAAGUCAACUAUCUCAUUCAUUAGUUGCUGGUUUGCCACAUUACUUGGCAAAGGUGGAGAUAUUCCUUACUUCGGGCUAUUUUCAAAGUAAGCGGGCAUCUCAAGCACUGCCUCGGGCUGUCCCACCUCUCAUUUUAUUGACCAUAGGUGGAGGCCUAUAAGGAAGUGGUUUAGUGACUAUUGUGGGCAUACCAUUUCCACUGGCUCCUCCAUUUGAACUAGAUGUUAAAGCAUUAGUUCCAUUUUGCUCGAUUGUGUUUCUUGACAUGCUUGUGACUAGAACUAUCUCCAACAAAUUCACCCAUGUAGGCCCCUUCUCCUUUGAGAUCGGACUAUUGAGCAAAAAUUGUACGAGAAUGACGCGAAAAUUAACUUAACACACAAAUUUAACCCUCUUUUGACAAUUGUAGUAUAAGUAUAAGUAGGGAUCGUUCUGGACCGGGGAUUAGGAGGGCUUGCUAAUAACCUCUAAACUGACUUAAAAAUAUAUAAACAAAGUUAAAAACAGUAAACUAGACUCAAAGAAUUCAAAACAAACUCAAAGAACUCAAAACUAGUUUAAAAGACUCAAAACUGCUUAAAACAAUGAAUUAGACUCUAAACUGACUCUAGGGAUGGUUUUGGACGAAAUUAGGUUCUAACUUGACUC